UGGUUAAGAUACUGCUGCAAGGAUGCCACAUACUGGAUGGAAUUAAUUGGGCUGCAUUGUUUUGUGUCAUCUACAAACCACAAUACAGAGUAGGAGAAUCCUCCUGAUUUCAGAGCCGCAUCGUAACUCUUUAACAUUCAACUCAAUAUUCAGUGCUCGGAGAGUUUUCAAGAGUUCAAACACUGCUUGAGAAACUCAACCUUUUGACAUCACCCAAGAUUACGCCAUGUGCCACGGAUUCUAGACGGCUGCUUUUCAUCAGCAAACACCUUGAAACCUAUCAAGAUGGAGAAGGAAAACUGGCAGAUCUUUGAGGAAGUCCAACCCAACAUUAAACCGUUAAAACAUUUCUACCCAUGAAGGACCCAAAACCAAGCUAUUCUGAAGUGGCUUCACCAAUUAAAGGUGAUUUCUAAAACCACCAUGGCAUCAAGAAUCCCUAUAAUAUGUCUACAUUUAGCCUUCUCUAAACAAAACUACCUGAUAUCAUCCUCAUAGCUGAGCAGAUUCCAGUUAGACAUGUGGGUAAUGUGCUUGGCAUGUUUCUUCAUCAUUGAGUUUGGCCUCUCACAUAAUUCCUUUCUCAGUCUUUUUUUUAAGUUACUGCUGUCUGUAUAGCUGUGCAUGUAAAGGCUUUACACAACAGAGUUUGUAUGACCUUCAUGCCUGUACAAUCGUCAGGCUCAUUGGAUAAAUCUAGUUCAAAUUGGA